rnacentral:rRNA from 1 species
CUGACAUAAGUAACGAUAAAGCGGGUGAAAAGCCCGCUCGCCGGAAGACCAAGGGUUCCUGUCCAACGUUAAUCGGGGCAGGGUGAGUCGACCCCUAAGGCGAGGCCGAAAGGCGUAGUCGAUGGGAAACAGGUUAAUAUUCCUGUACUUGGUGUUACUGCGAAGGGGGGACGGAGAAGGCUAUGUUGGCCGGGCGACGGUUGUCCCGGUUUAAGCGUGUAGGCUGGUUUUCCAGGCAAAUCCGGAAAAUCAAGGCUGAGGCGUGAUGACGAGGCACUACGGUGCUGAAGCAACAAAUGCCCUGCUUCCAGGAAAAGCCUCUAAGCAUCAGGUAACAUCAAAUCGUACCCCAAACCGACACAGGUGGUCAGGUAGAGAAUACCAAGGCGCUUGAGAGAACUCGGGUGAAGGAACUAGGCAAAAUGGUGCCGUAACUUCGGGAGAAGG